CAGCCGCCACGGGAAAACAGAGGGUGCAAGCGUUAAUCGGAUUUACUGGGCGUAAAGGGCGCGUAGGUGGUUAUGUAAGUGAGAUGUGAAAUCCCCGGGCUCAACCUGGGAACUGCAUCUUAUACUGCGUAGCUGGAGUGCAGUAGAGGGUAGUGGAAUUUCCGGUGUAGCGGUGAAAUGCGUAGAUAUCGGAAGGAACACCAGUGGCGAAGGCGGCUACCUGGACUGACACUGACACUGAGGCGCGAAAGCGUGGGGAGCAAACAGGAUUAGAUACCCCAGUAGUCCCUGUCUCUUAUAC
rnacentral:rRNA from 1 species